rnacentral:rRNA from 1 species
GUGUCAGCCGCCGCGGUAAUACGAAGGGGGCUAGCGUUGUUCGGAAUUACUGGGCGUAAAGCGCGCGUAGGCGGUGUGCAUAGUCAGGGGUGAAAUCCCGGGGCUCAACCUCGGAAUUGCCUUUGAUACUGGCACGCUUGAAUCCGUGAGAGGGUGGUGGAAUGGCCAGUGUAGAGGUGAAAUUCGUAGAUAUUGGCCGGAACACCAGUGGCGAAGGCGGCCACCUGGCGCGGUAUUGACGCUGAGGCGCGAAAGCGUGGGGAGCAAACAGGAUUAGAUACCCUGGUAGUCCACGCCGUAAACGAUGAGUGCUAGCUGUUGGCCUGCUUGCAGGUCAGUGGCGCAGCUAACGCAUUAAGCACUCCGCCUGGGGAGUACGGCCGCAAGGUUAAA